rnacentral:rRNA from 1 species
GGAUGAGCCCGCGGCCUAUCAGCUUGUUGGUGGGGUGAUGGCCUACCAAGGCGACGACGGGUAGCCGGCCUGAGAGGGCGACCGGCCACACUGGGACUGAGACACGGCCCAGACUCCUACGGGAGGCAGCAGUGGGGAAUAUUGCACAAUGGGCGCAAGCCUGAUGCAGCGACGCCGCGUGAGGGAUGACGGCCUUCGGGUUGUAAACCUCUUUCA